CCUACGGGGGGCAGCAGUGGGGAAUAUUGCACAAUGGGGGAAACCCUGAUGCAGCGACUCCGCGUGAGUGAAGAAGUAUCUCGGUACGUAAAGCUCUAUCAGCAGGAAAGAAAAUGACGGUACCUGACUAAGAAGCCCCGGCUAACUACGUGCCAGCAGCCGCUGUAAUCCGUAGGGGGCAAGCGUUAUCCGGAUUUACUGGGUGUAAAGGGAGCGUAGACGGCAGCGCAAGUCUGGAGUGAAAUUCCGGGGCACAACCCCGGAACUGCGCUGGAAACUGUGAAGCUGGAGUGCAGGAGAGGUAAGCGGAAUUCCUGGUGUAGCGGUGAAAUGCGUAGAUAUCAGGAGGAACACCGGCGGAGAAGGCGGCUUACUGGACUGUAACUGACGUUGAGGCUCGAAGGCGUGGGGAGCAAACAGGAUUAGAUACCCCUGUAGUC
rnacentral:rRNA from 1 species